GUAUUUAACCCCUUAUCUUUGCAUUGGAAAUAUGAGACGUUCAAUUUCUUAAGAAAACACUUAGCCUAUAUUCCCGCCGCAUGAGCAUAAAUAUAAACUUCACGCGUUUUGAAUAUACAUAAAUUUAUUAUUGUAAGAUUAAAUGAAAGGUUCAAACUUAUCUAACCAAUUUGAUAUGUACUUAUGAAAAAUAAUCGUUAAAUCAUAUCUAUUCAUUCAUUAAAAAGGGCUUUUCUCGACAAAGUUUUUGGCUCUAUAUUUUAGUCGCGGAUGCGAACUUAAUAACAUGUUAAUAGGACUGUUCCUUGUUUGUUUCAUAACGACUGGCUAUUUAUUUAUCAGCACAGCCUUAGUGUGGUAUAGGACCGGUGACAUCAAAAAAUAAACUUUCAAUGCUUAAAUGAAUUUUUCCAUAUGUUUUCAGCAUCAUUUUGAAUUCACGGCCAAGUAUUUUACCUCAUUGUUUAAAACAGCUUCCAUAUCUUUUUUAAAUAGUUGAGUAAUUGUUACAUUUAGUUCAUUGAUACUAUUUUAUAAAAGCAUCGCAAUAAAAUUAAAGUGCUAUUUUGCUCUACAUGUAGAUAAAAUUUUGUUUUUCAUUUUUUAAAUGUUCAACGUUUGUAUAUAUUAGUUUCUGCUUUUCUGCUUGGCUUCAGGAUUUUGUCUUCUGUUGUUUCCUUGUCUUUGCAUACAUUUUUAUUUUGCUUAAACUUUGAUUUACAUUACAUAAUUUACUUUGUUUUAGACCUUUAUCAUUUUUUUAAAUAAAUACUUUGAUUAAUGAUC
rnacentral:sRNA from 1 species